AGAUCACCGAAGUCAAGCAUCAUUGGGCGCCGUCAGUACUUGGGUGGGUGACCACCUGGGAACACUGCGUGCCGUU